AUGGAAGAAUGCAAAUAUUACACGAUGCCAAUGCCAGCCAAACACCAUCUUGGUCCCGACGACAAUGGUAAAGAGUUCGAUCAAAAGGUAUACCGCUCCAUGAUUGGUUCUUUACUUUAUCUAUGUGCAUCUAGGCCAGAUAUUAUGCUUAGUGUUUGCAUGUGUGCUCGAUUCCAAGCGGCACCAAAGGAAUCGCAUCACUUAGCUGUGAAGCGAAUUCUUAGAUAUUUGGCUUACACCCCAACACUCGGAUUAUGGUAUUCCAAGGGCUCAAAAUUUGAUCUGGUUGGAUUCUCUGAUGCUGAUUAUGUUGGUGACAAGGUGAAUUGCAAGUCUACAUUAGAAAUAUGUCACUUUCUGGGACGAUCACUUGUCUGUUGGUCUUCAAAGAAGCAGAACUGUGUAUCACUCUCAACUGCUGAAUCUGAAUACAUUGCUGCUGGAUCUUGUUGUGCUCAGCUUCUCUGGAUGAAGCAAACUCUCAAGGACUAUGACAUCAAUCUGAAACAAGUACCUUUUUUCUGUGACAACGAAAGUGCCAUCAAGAUAGCCAACAAUCCAGUCUAG
rnacentral:rRNA from 1 species